AAGGAUCAUUAACGAGUUCAUGCCCUUCGGGGUAGACCUCCCACCCUCUGUUUACAAUACCUUUGUUGCUUUGGCGGCCCCGUCGCAGGACAACCGGCCCCGGCUGGUCAGCGGCCGCCAGAGGACUCCAAACUCAUAUUAUCUUUGUCGUCUGAGUACUAUAUAAUAGUUAAAACUUUCAACAACGGAUCUCUUGGUUCUG
rnacentral:misc_RNA from 1 species